GGCCCGCUGGCUCAAUGGUAGAGCGUCUGACUACGAUUUCUAGUGAUCAGGAGGUUCCAGGUUCGAGACCUGGGUGGGUCG